UGGAAUACUGUGGAGAAAGGAGCA
rnacentral:piRNA from 1 species